UUCCUUUCCAUUUAAUGUUGUGUGAUAUGUUUCCUUUCCAUUUAAUGUUGUGUGAUAUGUUUCCUUUCCAGGUGAAGUUGUGUGAUAUGUUUCCUUUCCAGGUAAUGUUGUGUGAUAUGUUUCCUUCCCAGGUAAUGUUGUGUGAUAUGUUUCCUUCCCAGGUAAUGUUGUGUGAUAUGUUUCCUUUCCAGGUAAUGUGGUGUGAUAUG